rnacentral:snRNA from 1 species
GUCAGGCGGGAUUACCCGCUGAG